rnacentral:rRNA from 1 species
GGUUAAGCGACUAAGCGUACACGGUGGAUGCCCUGGCAGUCAGAGGCGAUGAAGGGCGUGCUAAUCUGCGAUAAGCGCCGGUAAGGUGAUAUGAACCGUUAUAACCGGCGAUACCCGAAUGGGGAAACCCAGUGUGACUCGUCACACUAUCAUUAACUGAAUCCAUAGGUUAAUGAGGCGAACCGGGGGAACUGAAACAUCUAAGUACCCCGAGGAAAAGAAAUCAACCGAGAUUCCCCCAGUAGCGGCGAGCGAACGGGGAGGAGCCCAGAGCCUGAAUCAGCAUGUGUGUUAGUGGAAGCGUCUGGAAAGGCGCGCGAUACAGGGUGACAGCCCCGUACACAAAAGCGCAUGUGCUGUGAGCUCGAUGAGUAGGGCGGGACACGUGGUAUCCUGUCUGAAUAUGGGGGGACCAUCCUCCAAGGCUAAAUACUCCUGACUGACCGAUAGUGAACCAGUACCGUGAGGGAAAGGCGAAAAGAACCCCGGCGAGGGGAGUGAAAAAGAACCUGAAACCGUGUACGUACAAGCAGUGGGAGCACCCUUUGGGUGUGACUGCGUA